UCCGCCUCCGCCCCCGGCUUCGCACCCCCUCCCGACAGUUUAUUUCUUACCUGUUUUAGUGCUACUGCAGUAUGCCAUAAGAAAAUGGUAAACCGGCUCCGAUUCAUCGUGCGCAUCAGCUUAGAUGUGAACCAAGAAGGAGCAGUACGUGGAUGAUCCCAUGACCGUCCCAAGGGACAUCGUGAAGAAGUGGAACCCCUAGAUCAAUGACUAUGGCCUCCCUGAUGCCUUUUGUGACGCAAAGGAUCUUCAAAGAAGGGGGUCUGUAGACUGAAAGAAGAAAUGGGGGUGCGCUAGAGGAAGGCUGUCAUAGAAAUUAGGUGGAUACCUUGUUUUAUUAUAGAAGCUGAAAUUCAGGAACUAUUUACUUUCUGAAACAAAAUGCACAAUCUGCAAAUAAAAGGAAUCCCUUUCUAUCA